rnacentral:misc_RNA from 1 species
GAAAAAUUUCACGAGCUAGUUCUAAGAAACAAGCAUAGCUGAGAGGAACUUAACACAUGAAAGGCAGAUUGCUCAUGCAGAACUACAAGUUUUCCCCACAAAAUUCUUAAGGGAUAUAUAUGGUUAGCGUUAAUGGAUAUACAAAGGAACCCAGCAAAUGGAAAACAUAAGAGGUAGAAUUUAAUUAUCGGUCUUGGUUUAAUUCUUAAUAGAUACAGGCUAGGUCCUAGAUAAUAUCACAGUUCAGGACCAUCAAGGACAAAUGCUGCCCGAGGCGAGGACUCUUUCAAAAAUUACAACAUGGGGAAAGUGUGGUAAGUCCCAGCGCCCAUAGAUUCUUCGGUGAUUGAGGAUUCUGUGCCUCGAGUUCACCCAGGCUUGAAGAUCUGUGGAAACAAAUCACAGCACACAUUUGGUCAGAAAUUGCUUAAUCCCAUGUCUUGAGAUUCUGGAAGGGACUCCUCCUUUCAGGUGUUUUUGCACUACACAAGGCACAUCUCACCAAAAUUACAACGAUAAAACACUGCACUAAAUAAGAAAAAAUGGACUCCAACACUGAUGAUUGACAAUGUGAUGUCACUGAUUGCUACUUGUGCCACCCCUCCUCCAUCUUCCCUUUUUCUCUCCUUUUCUUUCCCCAGCCUUCUUUCUGGGUGUAAUUUUCUUCACCCAACCUAACAAAUUCUUUAAAACUAAAAAGGAAGCCUUCUGGAAUCUCUUACCUCUCUGUACUUGUAUGAUAAAGGCUUGAAAGCUUUGAAGAAACAUCAGAACUAUAAUUUGUAAUACCAAGCCAUAUUCUUCAUCAGCAAUCAGUUAUCUAGAUAUUCCAGUUCUUCUCAUGUUAUACUAACAGUGCAGAACUAUAAUUAAACAGAGGCAUCUCACUGACCCAGCUGGAUAUCAGAAAAAUAGGAUAGCCAUAGCAGAAAAGAAAAGAUAGGGUUACUUAAGGGAGGAAAGAAGAGAAUAGCAGGCCUUUAACUUCUUGUACGCAUGUAGGACAGAUUUCAACGAGUUUCUACAUCUGAAGUUCAAGCCAUCAUCACCGGUUAACUGAUACAAGUCAAGAGUCGGAAAAACACAAGAAAAUUAGACAAACAGGCUUCUAACUAUUAAAAUCUGCUCCACAAGACUAUACCUCAUUUGUGUUGAUAGGCAAUUCAAGUUGAAUUUGUGUUGAUAGGCAACUCAAGUUGUAAAUUGGCUCACCGUUGUUGAAAAAGGAGUCAAAUGGGCUCAGUUAAAGAUUGUCACAUAUUUAGCUCCACCUUGCAGAUCUAAUAAAAUCGCAUUUCAAGUGGUAGUGGUGGCCAUUUCAAGAACAGAAGAACAAAGUUGAGGCAUAAGUGACUGCAUGACAUGCAUACAACAGAUAAUUAUUACUCUUACAAUAAUUCUUCCAUCAGAACAAAACUUCCUUAAAAUUUUCUUGCAACAAAAAAGGAUUGCGACCCUAAGGCCUGUCAAUCACAUGGAAACAAGGAACAGUUCAAACUCCACAAUUAUUUGCUUCUGCAAUACAUGUUACUCAAGACUCAGGUAUGGGUGCUGGAUACACAUCCAUGUCCAGUAUGGGUACGUCCAAUUUUUUCAUUCCUCAUAGUUAGCAGAUCCUCUAGGCUCUAGCCAUGCCCUUUGCAAGUGUUCAAUAUGUGUCUGACAAAAGCUCAUCAAAGUAAGAGGAGUUGAAGCAACAAAACCAUACAACAGGUGUUUCAAGAUAUUUCUGAUGUACAAGUAUUUGGUUCCUCUACAGAAACUUCCAAGACACGACUAUAUCAAUAGGUUCUCUAAAUUCAAGCUCUAGUACACAUUGAGAUUGUUGCCCCAAAUCAUGUCACUAAAAACCACACCACGAAGAGAAGAUAUAAAAGACAAUCAAUACACAUUUUGGUAAAAGCUAAACAUUGUCACUUAUUUAGUGACGCCUAAAAUAGAGUUCUACUCCGUUCUAAUUGUAGAUCGAAAUUAGAUUUGUUGGAGCAUUAAAGACCUCCCGAUACUUGCUCGAUAAUUUGUACCCGUCAGGUCACUGCACAUGACCAGACACUAAGCUUCCACCUUGAAACUAUUACCAAUGACAAAGCUGAGUGCUCAACAUCUGUGACAAUACUUUGCACAGAUUAGCAAGCACAAUAUCCUUUGUCAGAAAAUGAUGUUAGACGAUCAAAAUCCAUGGUGAAUUUGUAACUAGUUCAUGCAUAAAGGUCCUCCCAAUAGUGCCCAAGUUCACUUACAAUUGUUUCUAACAACGCUCUGCAGGUUCUCUUUCAUCAAGCCCAUGGAAAUCUCUGCAAUGCCAUUUCCUUCAAUCACUUAGUGCACAAGAUCUCAGAUCUAACUCAACAUUUGUGUUACAUCCAAAUCCACCAUCCAAUACUACAUCUAGGUCAGUAUGUAAAUACUAAGGCACUUGUGACUUCCUGCUUACCAAUCUAAGCAUCAAUUGUCCAAUCUAGCAUCAUAGGGGGCAUUCAUACUUUAAUAAAACAGUUUUAUAUCUUCAUCAGUUGCAGUGCCAUAAACAAAAAACCUUGCCAUCACAGAAAUUAUGUAACAUUUGCAAUAAUGUGAAUAGGAUUUAUUUUCAACCUUUACUAGUAAAUUGCAUCUAAUCCACAUAUUUGCAUGAAUUUGACUAAAUCGCUACAUCACUUAAUACUUCCCAUGAAUUUUGAUCAUCAGUAUUUAAAGCAAAAAAAGCUUACUUCUGAUUUAUUGUUAUUAAAGUACUUUUAAAAGAUAAUUAAUAUAUGCUUUCUAUUAUAGAAUUUUGAUAAUCUAAUAAGUACAAAUUAU